rnacentral:rRNA from 1 species
UAACGGNGAGUGAAGCGGCAACAGCUCAAAUUUGAAAUCUGGCCCCGUCGGGGUCCGAGUUGUAAUUUGUAGAGAGUGUUUCGGGUGAGACCACGGUCUAAGUCUAUUGGAACAUGGCGUCAUAGAGGGUGAGAAUCCCGUAUGUGACCGUGGCUCGAGCCCAUGUGAAGCCUCUUCGACGAGUCGAGUUGUUUGGGAAUGCAGCUCAAAAUGGGUGGUAAAUUUCAUCUAAAGCUAAAUACUGGCUGGAGACCGAUAGCGCACAAGUAGAGUGAUCGAAAGAUGAAAAGCACUUUGGAAAGAGAGUCAAAAAGUACGUGAAAUUGUUGAAAGGGAAGCGCUUGCAACCAGACCUGUCCGUAGGUGAUCAGCCGCUGUUCUCAGCGGUGCACUCGCUCUGCGAUCAGGCCAGCAUCGGUUUCGGCGGUCGGAUAAAGGCCUUGGGAAUGUAGCUUCUUUCGGGGAGUCUUAUAGCCCUCGGUGCAAUGCGGCCAGCCGGGACCGAGGACCGCGCUUCGGCUAGGAUGCUGGCGUAAUGGUUGUAAGCGACCCGUCUUGAAACACGGACCAAGGAGUCUACCAUCUAUGCGAGUGUUUGGGUGUUAAACCCAUGCGCGGAAUGAAAGUGAACGGAGGUGAGAACCCUUUAGGGCGCAUCAUCGACCGAUCCAGAUGUCUUCGGAUGGAUUUGAGUAUGAGCAUAGCUGGUGGGACCCGAAAGAUGGUGAACUAUACUUGAAUAGGGUGAAGCCAGAGGAAACUCUGGUGGAGGCUCGCAGCGGUUCUGACGUGCAAAUCGAUCGUCAAAUUUGAGUAUAGGGG